UACAGAGGUCUCAAGCGUUGUUCGGAUUCAUUGGGCGUAAAGGGUGCGCAGGCGGCGCGGUAAGUCGGGUGUGAAAUUUCGGAGCUUAACUCCGAAACUGCAUUCGAUACUGCGGUGCUUGAGGACUGGAGAGGAGACUGGAAUUCAUGGUGUAGCAGUGAAAUGCGUAGAGAUCAUGAGGAAGACCAGUGGCGAAGGCGGGUCUCUGGACAGUUCCUGACACUGAGGCACGAAGGCCAGGGGAGCAAACGGG
rnacentral:rRNA from 1 species